UUGUCAUGGAGCUUUUGUGACCCAGCUGCUUCAAACACAUCGCAAGACCAUCAACAGCUAUUUAGACUCUCAAAAUCGAGCACCGGAGAGCUGCCGGGAAGCACAUUUCUUAAGAGAGUUAACAGAACAUCUCCGGAGAAGUGGGCAAGGCAGGCGUAGGCGGAACACAAACACACACAGACAUUCCCGAUUCCUGCCCCAGGAGGGAUGCCGCCAGGUACUCAGGAGCCACAGGUUGGCUAGCUGGAUGAAUAGAUGGAGAGCCACCUGCCAGCUCCACAAAGCCGUGAAUGCCAGUGCAAGCUGCGAGCACCAUUACAGAAAGCACAGUGCCAGGUGUCCGGAAAGGGAAGGCACGUUGUCAUGGCUGACUCCCUGCUUCUAAAGUCACAAGGACCCCUGGCUUCACAGUCUUUCUUUGUUUACUUACUUUCAACUAGGUGAUACGUCUGCAGUGUCUCACCCUGUGAGGUCUUCCCAUUUCUCCUUCGUGACGUCCAGUUAUAGGGAGCUGCUAUGAUCGUUCAUCAGCUGCCCCAGGAUGUCUGGAACCUUCCACGUCACCAUCCAUAUGUAAACUGGCACAUCUUCUCUUGCCUUUGCAUGCUGCAGCCUGAACUCCAUCCUUCAGCUUCCACACGUAUAUUAAAGCCAACUCCGGUUUCAUCCUCAAAACUGGUCUGAAGCUCCACAGUAUCUGCAGGUAUUUGCAUCCUACCACCUUCUUGAGGCCGGGCCUUUUAAUUCAACCAUUUAAUUCAAGUAGGCAAAGAUGAAGAAGCUAAGGGUUUAGGACAGAAUGGCAUCCGGGGCCAGCCUUAACUAGGAGGAGAACUUUAAGUUCCUGAAGUCAAGGACCAACACAAGGAAGAACUUGCUGAGCAGAGAUGGUCCUAGAGCCUCCAGACAUGAGGCAUAGGCAAAGCCCUCCAGAACUGUGCACUUGAAGGUGGAUGGAGGAUGAGAAAGGAGCGAUGCUUGCGGAAGAGACUGAUUGUAGAUGCUAGGGGGAAAGGUUGGACAGAGAGAAAGGGUAGGGCUGUGGAGAUGGCUCAGCCAACAAAAGCUUGCUAUGUAAGUAUGAGAGCCUGACUUUGAACCCUAGAAUCCUGUAGAAAAGCUGGGCACAGUGGCAUGUUAUCCUAAUCCCAGUGCCGGUGAGGCAAAGCAGGCAAACUCCCGAGACUCACUGGAUAUCUCACCUAGCCAAACUAGCAAGAUCCGAGCCAGUGAGACUCAGUCUCACUCCCCAACCUCCACAUCCCAACAUGGCUUGUGUCUUGAGGAAUGAUACUCAAGGUUGCUUUCUGAUAUCACAUCCAUAUGUGCACAUGUAGAGACACACAAACAUACACACAUACACACAGGCACAUAAGCAAACACAUACACAGAAUGGAAUGCACUAGGUUAGAGGCAGAGCGAGCUUAAAUAUGAAUUUUGAACUGGGCACCCAACUGGCAAAUGGCUUUGUGUUUUCUUCAGUGGCUCUCAGAUGGAGUCAGAGCUCCAGUGGAUAUGUUGACAGCUUUCCCCUUUGGCCGGAUGCUGGAAUUCAGGACAUGUCUCCAUAGUAGACUGUUCUUUCUAUGAGCUUGGAAUUGAGUCAUGGCCCACUCGCUUGCUCAUCUGUGAGGCUUGAAGAAGCCAGGUAACAGUGCGGGGUGGGGCAGGCAUUAGCUGGGUGACUUGGGCAUUAAACAGAAGCUGGCUCGGGAGUUUAAAACAGCUCUGCUCGGAAGAUAAACAAGAAGCACUAAAGACACUCACUUGGGGAAAAAGCUGCCAACUGAGGCUUCAUAAUUCACUUCUACCUAUGAGGUUCAAGUACCAUCAAGUCUGAAAUUACUCGCAAAGCUUCUACCCUGGAUUUACUUUCUAUAUAAAACAACACUUCACAGAGUAAGUUAGGAGAUGCCACUGAGACCAGUGAUGUGUUUCCAGAGGGAGAUUCUGCCAAUGAAUCAGCAACACUAAUUUUUUUUAACAUUCUCUGGGAAAAUAUAACAAUUUAGUAUGUUUGUAAAACUGGAUAAGCACCAGUGAUGUUGUCCUUAACCUUAAGCUUUCUCCUGGAAGCCCAGCCUGUUCUGCACAUUCUCCUUUGAGCUAUCUGCUCAGGAAUGCACACGUGCUUCCUGGUGGACUGAAUGCAUAUCUUUGGGAGUCUUCUUCCAGACUGUGAGGGACUCCACGGGGCAAGAACCUCUGGUCCGUGCUGAUAUUCCCAUGUGCAGACAGAAAGGACAGCGGUUAUGGAGAUGAGAGAAAUGUGCUUGGAGACUAAACGAGAAGUUCCAGAAGAUGCUCCAAGUUUUCUGGGGACACUGUCCAUAGAGUCUCAAGUUUAAACAUUGGCUUCUCGUGGACCCAUGAUAAUGAAAGGUGGUGUGUGAAUGAGUGCAUGUGUGUAUGCAUGCAUGUGUGUUCUGUUGCUUCAUGGUGCUACACUCCCAUGUGUGUUUGUUCAUGUUGUAUGUUGUGAUUCACAGUGCUACCCUGUCCACUGGUGCAGUUAUUAUGGUCAGAGGGUGAUAGUUGCAGAGUUGGCAAACACUUUCUUAUUCAUCCCACAUCAGCAUGGGUUUCAACGUGCUUGUUCCAAACAAAAUCUUAAAUAUAAGUGAGCCAGUUUUCUUUUAAGAGACAAUAACGAUUUAUGUUUGUGGGUGACUAAAGAUUGGACAGAAGUAAAGUAGACUAGUGGCUAUUGGUAUGAAAAAAGAAAAAUAAAAUCAUUCUUUAAAAAACAAGAACCCGUAUCAAGUACUGGGUGGGGGAGGACAAGAAAGCCUAAGUGGAUGAAGACGAUUGAAAUACAUCAUGUGCACAUAUGGGAAUGUCAGAAUGAAACUCACACUGUUAUGUGUAAUUAAGAAAAACCAAUCUGCCCUAAGUACUGCUAGUGUUUGAAAUAAAUGGCCACUAUUUUUUAAUUUAUUCACAAGUUUUGUGAUUGAUAUGGCUUAUGUUUUCCACCAAAAUAAUGAUGUAGAAACAGAAGAUAAGAGGCAUUUAUUCGGGUUGGGAGGGAAUUCAGGGCCAAAAACUCACAAGUUGUUCAACUCCUUAAAAUACAGUUGUAGUCAAGGUUAAAUGA
rnacentral:lncRNA from 1 species